rnacentral:rRNA from 1 species
UUGGAGGCAGUCUGGUGCAGCAGCCGCGGUAAUUCCAGCUCCAAUAGCGUAUAUUAAAGUUGUUGCAGUUAAAAAGCUCGUAGUUGAACUUCGGGGUUUGCCCAUUGGUCAGGCUUAAUUGUCUGUACUGGUGAGAUGAAUCUCUAUCUUCUGAGGAACUUUCAUGCCAUUUAUUUGGUGUGAUAGGAAAUCAGGACUGUUACUUUGAAAAAAUUAGAGUGUUUAAAGCAGGCUAACGUCUGAAUACAUUAGCAUGGAAUAAUGAAAUAGGACGGACUGAUUCUAUUUCGUUGGUUUCUAGGAUCACCGUAAUGAUUAAUAGGGAUAGUUGGGGGCAUUAGUAUUCAAUUGUCAGAGGUGAAAAUCUUGGAUUUAUUGAAGACUAACUACUGCGAAAGCAUUUGCCAAGGAUGUUUUCAUUAAUCAAGAACGAAAGUUAGGGGAUCGAAGACGAUCAGAUACCGUCGUAGUCUUAACCAUAAACUAUGCCGACUAGGGAUCGGACGAAGUUAAUUUUAUAAUGACGCGUUCGGCGCCUUACGGGAAAC